AUUGAACGCUGGCUGCAGGCUUAACACAUGCAAGUCGAGCGGAGUGAUGGUGCUUGCACUAUCACUUAGCGGCGGACGGGUGAGUAAUGCUUAGGAAUCUGCCUAUUAGUGGGGGACAACAUCUCGAAAGGGAUGCUAAUACCGCAUACGCCCUACGGGGGAAAGCAGGGGAUCUUCGGACCUUGCGCUAAUAGAUGAGCCUAAGUCGGAUUAGCUAGUUGGUGGGGUAAAGGCCUACCAAGGCGACGAUCUGUAGCGGGUCUGAGAGGAUGAUCCGCCACACUGGGACUGAGACACGGCCCAGACUCCUACGGGAGGCAGCAGUGGGGAAUAUUGGACAAUGGGCGGAAGCCUGAUCCAGCCAUGCCGCGUGUGUGAAGAAGGCCUUUUGGUUGUAAAGCACUUUAAGCGAGGAGGAGGCUCUUAAGGUUAAUACCCUUGAUGAGUGGACGUUACUCGCAGAAUAAGCACCGGCUAACUCUGUGCCAGCAGCCGCAGUAAUAC
rnacentral:rRNA from 1 species